CAGAGAUCCCUCCGCCACCCGAUGGAAUUUUCCAGGCGCUCUUUCUGCCGGCCCUUCUUUCGGGCCUCUGCGGGGCGUGGUGACCCAAGGUGACCUGCCCUUUAACUUCCGCCCUGCCAGUCGGUGUGGCCCCCGCCACCCCCCCACCCCCCACCCCACGACCCUCUGGAAGCCGUCAGAGGUGCCCUCCAUCCCGGGACGCCCUGCCGAGGGGCAGAAAAGGACCGCGGGGCAACCAGAGGGAGUGGCCGUCGAUGGGAGCCGUCCACGCCCCUCGUGGGCUCCUUUGGCUAGGUCGGGGAGGAACUUUUUUUUUUGAAGUGUCCGUGGAGGAAUCGCCCCGUUGAGCAAUGGCUGGGUGACACGACCCAGGGCUAUAAAAGCCAAAGUUGUGCCCUCCCCACCUCCAGCAGGAGUUAGUGGCAAGGAGGGCUGCCCUCUGGUCUCAGUGGUGGGGAGGACGUGGCUAGUUCAGGGCUCGGAGAGAGAGCUGGCAGGGGCAGCCGCUGGCAUGGGGGAGGGAGAAGGGCGGUUAACCGAAAGAGAGACUAGGUGUGGGCACGGUGGUCCUGGGGAUGGCAGCUUCCAAAGCGCCUUCAGCAGGCCACACAGGGGCAGCUGCCUUCAAGGCCAGGCUGGCCCUGCGGUCUGUAGGAGUGGGGGCACUUGACCUCCAGGAGGGCACAGGUCCCACGGGCCCUCGUAGGCCCAGGGUUCUAGCUUGAGUGGCAGAGCAGGUGGUGAGUCAGGUAGACCCGGGCCCUUGAGGCCCUGGAUGUCAUGAAGGACAGGCAGAGGGCCCAGGGCUAGGUGGGCAGUGGGGAUCAACUUUGAACUUGACAAUACCAGCAGACCCUUUUUUUCCAGAUAGGGGUUGUGAACCCGCCCGGGGAUGAGGCCUGGUCUUAUGGAAAGGACUGAGUUUCACGGGGCGGACACCUCUGGCCCCGGGUGGUGGCAGUACCCCCCUGGACUUUCCUAGGUUCCGUGGUUCCCUCUUCUGUGAUCUCUCUUCCCCCUCUCUUCCCUCUAACUCUGAGGUUAUGGGUUCACUUAAAACCUUGCCUCUGGGUCAUCUGGUAAGCCUGGGUAAGGUAGAGAGUUGGUGUUGGAGUCCUGGACUCUAUCUUGGUAUUUCUGGUAAAAGUGGAGGACACCCUGACUGGGUGGGGAGGGUUGGUGUUGAUUUGCAGGGGGUGGGGCUUGAAUGUGGACCCUCGGGUGGGCUCACAGCCAUGGCUCCAGUCACCCAAAUGCCUCAUGGACGUGGUUUAUUACUGUAGUGUUCAUCAUGGCAAGCAGAUGGCACCAGGAGAAAUGGACCCCCUGCCAGUGAGUCCUAGCAGUGCAGGAGGGCAGACCCUGGAGGAGACAGCGACCUAAGUUGAUGCCUAUCCAGUGAAUUCCAGAGGCUUAGGAAGUUCUGCACUGCCAUGUGUCCGGGCCUUACUCAGGAAGCCCUGUGUUCAAAAAGCCGUCGUUUUAAGUGGUUCAGACCAGCUUCUGGGGGUGGGGACGGGCAGACGCUUCCUGCCGGAGUGGCUGUCGGCUGUGAAUGUUCCGGAUGAAUGUCUUGUUCUGGGAGCACCAUUCUCCAGAGGCAUGAAUGCCAGCCAGCACCCCCCUUCCCGGAGGUAGAGGCAUUCAGCUGCAGCAUCUUCUAGAUCAAGCCUCCAGUCUUUAGUUCUGUGCUACGAACUUGGCUUCGAGAAGAUUGUGUAAGGUGUAGAACACUCAGCACAGCAUGGUGCCCUGUAGAUGGUGUUUGCAGAGGAGCCCAGUGACCUCGACACCUUCCCUGCUUCUGCAGCCUGCCUGCCUCUGCAUUGGUCAGAGGCAUUCCUAAGUGUGAUGAAACUUUGGGGUGUUGGGGAACGCUGUUCAAUUUUAAAUGACUGAAGUGGAAGAGUAUUCGAUGAAGCCAAUUGCUACAUGGGUGGGGUGUUGCAUUCUUAAAAGUACGGGAGGGUACAAGCUGGCCGCAAGGUUUUUGGGGAUUUGUAGAUGGCAUAUCUAAUUUGGGCAUUGGGAUAGCAUCUGGUACCUAGAAGGGAAUGGUGGUCCCUGGGAAUCUUGUUCUGUGGCUUUGGUUUUGGUACUGGGUGGUAGGCAGGUGUUACCCCACUGAGGGAUUCCGACUUGGGGGCUGGCUGUGUGUACCAGGCUGGCCUCUGCUCUCAUCCCUGCUGGGAUCACAGGUGUCAUCUAAAACUUCGCCGUCCAUCUUAACUGGAGUUCUGCUGGGUCAGGCUUCAGAAUACUUUUGCACCGGAGGUGGGAUUGCCAGAGAGAGAGCAGGGCUCAGCUUGGCAUUGGGGUCUUGGCCAGAGGUUGAGGGAUUGGGGGUGCCGGCAAGGGAUGUGGAUUGAUGGGAAUAACAAUUUGCAAACUAAAUACCUCGUAAAGAAAAUGUAAAAGUUGAUGGUAAAUCCUCAUGUGGGUGAAUGAAUAGUUGAGGUGCCGUAACAGUUGCUUGGAACAUAUCAAAAUCCUAAGACUGGGGGAAAAGCAAAAUUGUUUUGCUUUGCUGUUAAAUGAGCAAUACUGAAGUUGUAUCUGAACUUUUUUUUAGUUGCUUGAAAGAUGGUGUCAAACUCAAAUCAAGAAUGCCCAAGCACGUGCCAGGCCGUGGGGGUGGGGUGGAGAGGUGCUGGGGAAGGGUUUGUAAAUGCCUACAUGUGGGCUCUUACAGCACUGGCCUCCGCAGUUGAGGCUGACAGACCGCUGGGUUUACAGUUCAAACCCUAUCAGAUACUGUGUGGCUGAAUGCUAAUGCUCUUACAUCUAAAGGAAUCGAAUUUGCAAGUCAUGCCUUAUAUAACACCUACAGGAAUUUAGUAUGCGAGUCAUGCCUUAUCCAACUCCUACAGGAAUUUAAUAUGCGAGUCAUGCCUUACAACACCUACAGGAAUUAAAUAUGCGAGUCAUGCCUUAUGAAACACAUAAUGUCUUUCUGGGAUUGACCAGGAGACGACAGGGGGUGCUUACUUGACUAACGGAUGAGUCAUUGUGACAGGGGACAAGGCCUUCACUUGCUAUGACAUUACUGUGACGUUUGGUGAAAACUUGAUCCUUGUUUGUAUGUACCCUCCUAAGGUUGCUGUGAAGACAUUGUGAUUUUAGCUUGCAUGGUGCUUUCAAACCAUCCCGGAGCAGAGGGGACGCUGUAAUCGUCAAAUGAGUUUGGGAAAUAAAGUCAAACAGGGCUGCCGGGGACAUCUUACUAAGACGAUGCUCUGUAAAAAUGAACUCUGGAAACCCUGCGUGUCUGAAGUGCUGAAGUUGCAGUCAAUGGCUCUUCGUGUUGUGUUGUCUUUCCCUUAAAAUCAAGUCCCCAGGACUGUUACCUUGGGGACUUUGUCUUCCGGGUUGGUGAUUUUGUCUGUUUUAUGUUAUUUAUGUGUGUGGUCUAAUUUAAAAUGGUGGUGUGACCGGGAAUGGUCACUGUCAUUGGAACAGCGGAGUGUUGGUCAUGUUGGAAUGGGGAAAGAGCUGGACCAGCGGGUCACAGCCCCCACUUGUUUGUACUGAAGUGUUCUGAAGUGUGCACAGCCUCUAACCAUUUUCUCCUUUACAGCAAAAUAAAGGUUUGAGAUCGAAACUCCUCAGAA